rnacentral:rRNA from 1 species
AACGCGAAGAACCUUACCAGGGUUUGACAUCCUUGGAAUUACUGUGAAAGCAGUGAGUGCCUUCGGGAACCAAGUGACAGGUGUUGCAUGGCCGUCGUCAGCUCGUGUCGUGAGAUGUUUGGUUAAGUCCAUCAACGAGCGCAACCCUUAUGAAUAGUUGGAUUUUUCUAUUCAGACUGCCCCGGUAACGGGGAGGAAGGAGGGGAUGAUGUCAGGUCUGUAUUACCCUUAUACCCUGGGCUACAAACGCGCUACAAUGGCCGGUACAAAGGGCAGCUAAGUCGCGAGACGGAGCAAAUCCCAUCAAAGCCGGUCCCAGUUCGGAUUGCAGGCUGAAACUCGCCUGCAUGAAGCCGGAAUCGCUAGUAAUCGCAGGUCAGCACACUGCGGUGAAUACGUUCCCGGGCCUUGUA